UCAUAUUUGGAACAAGAUCCAAUAAUUCGUCUCUUGGGCUUUAACCUUUGGUAUGUAUAUGUGAUGUACAGCUGAUAUAAUGGCACGAAUGAUGAUUAUUUUGCAGUGUACAAUAUUGGUCUUAUUAUUCUAAUAUUUGAUAAAUUUACAGUCUGCCGGACCUGAGCGUCAACAUGGAGAAAACGGGAAUCCAAGCAGCUCUGGUAAAGACAAGGACUCAAGCAACGGAGGAGGAAACAGUCCGGAUAAAGACAAGGACCGAGGAGAUACACUAGGAUCAUCAAAUACUAUUCCGGCAGGAUCAAGCGAUAAUGUCGACUACUUACGAGUCAUCUCCGGAAGACCAGAUGCAAAGAAUAACCAAAGGAGGCGAGAAACUUCUUAUCUCGAUCUCAACGACUCCUCUGGGACUACAAUCCGGAAGUUCUUAGAACAUACUCGAGCACAGUCCAAGGAGUCAUAGAGUGUCACUGCUACUCCUGUUGCUAUUUCUUCGACUGCAACCACAACCACAACAACAACUAGAGAUACUACGACUACUAAUAGUUACACCUACUACUACGACUAUUACUACAAC
rnacentral:lncRNA from 1 species